UCCCUGGAGGGCUAGUGGUUAGGCCACGGCGCUCUCACUGCUGCGGCCCGGGUUCAAUCCCUGGCCAGGGAA